GAGGGUAUAGCUCAAGUGGUAGAGCACAUGCUUAGCAUGCAUGAGGUCCUAGGUUCAAUCUCCAGUACCUCCU
rnacentral:tRNA from 1 species